CCUACGGGGGGCAGCAGUGAGGAAUAUUGGUCAAUGGUCGGGAGACUGAACCAGCCAAGCCGCGUGAGGGAGGAAGGUACAGAGUAUCGUAAACCUCUUUUGUCAGGGAACAAAGACUGGGACGCGUCCCCGGAUGAGUGUACCUGAAGAAAAAGCAUCGGCUAACUCGGUGCCAACAGCCGCGGUAAUACGGAGGAUGCGAGUGUUAUCCGGAUUUAUGGGGUUUAAAGGGUGCGCAGGCGGUCUGUUAAGUCAGCGGUCAAAGCCCGGGGCUCAACCCCGGCCCGCCGUUGAAACUGGCAGUCUCGAGUUGGAGAGAAGUAUGCGGAAUGCGUGGUGUAGCGGUGAAAUGCAUAGAUAUCGCGCAGAACUCCGGUUGCGAAGGCAGCAUGCCGGCUCCACACUGACGCUGAGGCACGAAAGCGUGGGUAUCGAACAGGAUUAGAUACCCCAGUAGUC
rnacentral:rRNA from 1 species